rnacentral:rRNA from 1 species
GCUUGUCUCAAAGAUUAAGCCAUGCAUGUCUUAGUGUAAAUAACUCUUAUGAAACUGCGAAUGGCUCAUUAAAUCAGUUAUCAAAUACGUGAUGGUCGCCUACUACAUGGAUAACCGUAGUAAUUCUAGAGCUAAUACAUGCACAAAGGCCCACUCACGUGGGUUGUGAUUAUUAGAUUCAAACCGGCCUCGUUCUGGUGAUUCAUAAUAACUGCUCGAAUCGCAUGGCUUCACGCCGGCGAUGGUUCAUUCAAAUUUCUGCCCUAUCAGCUUUCGAUGGUAGGAUCGAGGCCUACCAUGGCGUUUACGGGUAACGGAGAAUUAGGGUUCGAUUCCGGAGAGGGAGCCUGAGAGAUGGCUACCACAUCCAAGGAAGGCAGCAGG